rnacentral:rRNA from 1 species
GACGAACCGUGCGAACGUUGUUCGGAAUCACUGGGCUUAAAGGGCGCGUAGGCGGGUUCGCAAGUCAGGGGUGAAAUCUUUCAGCUUAACUGGAAAACAGCCCCUGAUACUGCGAGUCUCGAGGGAGGUAGGGGCAUGUGGAACUUCCGGUGGAGCGGUGAAAUGCGUAGAUAUCGGAAAGAACACCAACGGCGAAAGCACUCUGCUGGGCCGACACUGACACUGAGAGACGAAAGCUAGGGGAGCGAAUGGG